AACGAACGCUGGCGGCAUGCCUAACACAUGCAAGUCGAACGAGACCUUCGGGUCUAGUGGCGCACGGGUGCGUAACGCGUGGGAACCUGCCCUUAGGUUCGGAAUAACUCCCCGAAAGGGGUGCUAAUACCGGAUAAUGUCUUCGGACCAAAGAUUUAUCGCCUUUGGAUGGGCCCGCGUUGGAUUAGCUAGUUGGUAGGGUAAAAGCCUACCAAGGCGACGAUCCAUAGCUGGUCUGAGAGGAUGAUCAGCCACACUGGGAGUGAGACACGGCCCAGACUCGUACGGGAGGCAGCAGUAGGGAAUAUUGGACAAUGGGCGAAAGCCUGAUCCAGCAAUGCCGCGUGAGUGAUGAAGGCCUUAGGGUUGUAAAGCUCUUUUACCCGGGAUGAUAAUGACAGUACCGGGAGAAUAAGCUCCGGCUAACUCCGUG
rnacentral:rRNA from 1 species